AAGAGAGAAUUAGUUGGGUGUCAUCUGCGUAGCUUUGGUAGGAAAAGCCAUGUGAGUGAAUAACAGAGCCAAGAGAGUUGGUGUACAGAGAGAAAAGGAGGGGACCCAGGACGGAACCGUGAGGUACCCCAGUGAGUGGACAAGGUUCUGACACAGAUCCUCUCCAAGUUACCUGAUGCAAAGGAGGUCGAUGCAAAGAUGGAGGAGUUCUCCACUUUCCAGCGUCCUUUCAGUGAGGCCAAGAUCAAGUUUAUGUUGGAGACGGCGGAAGCUAACAUGAAGAACAACAAGGAACGUCUGCUGAGGGAGAUAAACAAGGCCGUUCUCCGCCGACAGAACAAGAGGAAGUCUGUGCUGAACAAUCCUUAAUCAUAAAUGAUUAUGACUCAGUCUCUGACUUCAUCUACACAAAGAGUUGGAGGAGAAGAAGCUCUCAGACAGACACAGGAGGCAGAAGAAGCACUAACCGCACCAACAUGGGCAAUACAGAAUCAUGUAAUGCAUGCAUGUAAUGAUCUCUGCUAAGAUGGCUGACACUAAAUAAAUGUUGGUUGCAUGUGUGAAAGUAAUUGUCUUCUUCAAGGGUUUACUGCACUGCACAUACAUAAU